GAUGAAGAACGUAGCGAAAUGCGAUAAGUAAUGUGAAUUGCAGAAUUCAGUGAAUCAUCGAAUCUUUGAACGCACAUUGCGCCCCCUGCUAUUCCGGGGGGCAUGCCUGUUCGAGCGUCAUUUCACCACUCAAGCCUCGCUUGGUAUUGGGCAACGCGGUCCGCCGCGUGCCUCAAAUCGACCGGCUGGGUCUUCUGUCCCCUAAGCGUUGUGGAAACUAUUCGCUAAAGGGUGUUCGGGAGGCUACGCCGUAAAACAACCCCAUUUCUAAGGUUGACCUCGGAUCAGGUAGGGAUACCCGCUGAACUUAAGCAUAUCAAUAAGCGGAGGA
rnacentral:misc_RNA from 1 species